CUACGUAGGUGGCAAGCGUUGUCCGGAAUUAUUGGGCGUAAAGCGCAUGUAGGCGGUAAUUUAAGUCUGUCGUGAAACUGCGGGGCUCAGCCCCGUAUGGCGAUGGAAACUGGGUUACUUGAGUGCAGGAGAGGAAAGGGGAACUCCCAGUGUAGCGGGGAAAUGCGUAGAUAUUGGGAAGAACACCGGUGGCGAAGGCGCCUUUCUGGACUGUGUCUGACGCUGAGAUGCGAAAGCCAGGGUAGCGAACGGGAUUAGAUACCCCGGUAGUCCUGGCCGUAAACGAUGGGUACUAGGUGUGGGAGGUAUCGACCCCUUCCGUGCCGGAGUUAACGCAAUAAGUACCCCGCCUGGGGAGUACGGCCGCAAGGCUUAAACUCAAAGGAAUUGACGGGG
rnacentral:rRNA from 1 species